rnacentral:rRNA from 1 species
UACGUAGGGGGCAAGCGUUGUCCGGAUUCAUUGGGCGUAAAGAGCGUGUAGGCGGCCAGGUAGGUCGGUUGUGAAAACUGGAGGCUCAACCUUCAGAGGUCGACCGAAACCAUCUGGCUAGAGUCCGGGAGAGGAGAGUGGAAUUCCUGGUGUAGCGGUGAAAUGCGCAGAUAUACAGGGAGGAACACCCGGUGGCGAAGGCGGGUCUCUGGGCCGAUACUGACGCUGAGGAGCGAAAGCGUGGGGAGCGAACAGG